GACUUUUAGGUAGUGGUGAAAAGCCUAACGAGCCUGGUGAUAGCUGGUUGUCCAGAACAGAAUUUUAGUUCGACUUUAAAUCAUGCCUAAAAGACUUUUAACUUAAAUGCAGAUUUAAAUUAUAAUCUAAAAGGGUACAGCCUUUUAGAAAAAGGAUACAACCUUAAAUAGAGAGUAAGUACAUAAGAUUUACAUAGUUGGCCUAAAAGCAGCCACCAAUUAAGAAAGCGUUAAAGCUCAAAACUAUAUCCAUCUUAAUCCUAACAAUAAAUUACGAACCCCUAACCUAAUACUGGACUAUUCUAUUGUCUAAUAGAAGAAAUACUGUUAAUAUGAGUAACAAGAAUUACUAUUCUCCACGCACAAGCUUAUAUCAGAACGGAUAACCCACUGAUAGUUAGCAGUAAGAUAAGUUCACACCACAAAUUAAGCAACUAUCAAACUAACUGUUAACCCAACACAGGAGUGCUAUAAGGAAAGAUUAAAAGAAGUAAAAGGAACUCGGCAAACACAAACCCCGCCUGUUUACCAAAAACAUCACCUCCAGCAUAACAACUAUUGGAGGCACUGCCUGCCCAGUGACAUAUCUGUUAAACGGCCGCGGUAUCCUGACCGUGCAAAGGUAGCAUAAUCAUUUGUUCUCUAAAUAAGGACUUGUAUGAAUGGCCACACGAGGGUUUUACUGUCUCUUACUUCCAAUCAGUGAAAUUGACCUUCCCGUGAAGAGGCGGGAAUAUCCAAAUUAGACGAGAAGACCCUAUGGAGCUUCAAUUAAUCAACCCAUAAAUAAACCAAUAAAAAUCCAAGGACUUACAAAAAAUCUUUUAAUGAGUUGACAAUUUAGGUUGGGGUGACCUCGGAAUAUAACUAAACUUCCGAGUGAUUAAAAUCUAGACCAACAAGUCAAAACCUUCCAUCACUUAUUGAUCCAAAAGAUUGAUCAACGGAACAAGUUACCCUAGGGAUAACAGCGCAAUCCUAUUUGAGAGUCCAUAUCGACAAUAGGGUUUACGACCUCGAUGUUGGAUCAGGACAUCCUAAUGGUGCAGCAGCUAUUAAGGGUUCGUUUGUUCAACGAUUAAAGUCCUUCGUGAUCUGAGUNUCAGACCGGAGUAAUCCAGGUCGGUUUCUAUCUAUUUUGCGUUCCUCCCAGUACGAAAGGACAAGAGAAACAGGGCCAACCUUACAGAAGCGCC
rnacentral:rRNA from 1 species